AUGGCCAUGGAGGACGACGAGAACGCGACCCAGAAGAGCCGCUUCUUCCGCGACGCGCGCGUGGAGGCCAUGCAGCGGCGCGUGGACGAGGUGCACGCGGAGGCCGAGGACCCCUGCACCAUCUUCCGCCUCCCCGCGGCCGUGCGCGAGCGCCACCCCGACCUGUACGAGCCCAAGGUCGUGUCCGUGGGGCCCUACUACCACGGCCGCGCCGGGCUCGCCGCCGCGCAGCAGCACAAGUGGCGCCUCCUGCGCGACUUCCUGUCGCGGGCAAACGGGAAGGGGCUGGGCGCCUACUUGCGCUGCGCGAGCGCGCUCGAGGCCGACGCGCGGCGGUGCUACGCGGAGGGGUUCGACGCCGUGGGAGCCGACGACUUCGCGGAGAUGCUGGUGCUCGACGGCUGCUUCCUGCUCGAGUUCUUCCUGCGGAAGGGCGAGGGCCAGCUCGCCGCGCCCGGGGGCGCCAAGUGGGCGUGGCAGCACAUGUACCACGACGUCCUCCUGCUCGAGAACCAGAUCCCCUUCUUCGUCGUCGAGAAGCUGCACGCCAUCGCCUUCCCCGGCGAGGACGGCGGGCCCGACAGCGAGGGGCUCCUCGACAUCUUCUGCAAGGCCCUGGCCGGCGACCUGCCGUCGAGCCGCGCCAUCCGGCCGCGGAGCGGCAAGACGAUACACCACCUCCUGCACCUGCACUACGAGUGCAACGUCCGCAGCGCGUCCGCGGACGCCAGCGACGCCAAGGGGCGCAGCAACGGCAAGGCCGACGCCAACGGCGCCUCGUCGCUGGCCGUGUGGAAGCAGUCGCCGGUCCCGUCCCCGCGCUCCAGCGACGGCGCCGUGAAGGGCCGGCUGACGUCGAUGGUCCCGCAGGCGGCCAAGAUGGAGGAGGCCGGCGUGACGUUCAAGAGGAAGGCGACCCCGCGCGACAUGUUCGACGUGAGCUUCCGGUACGGCGUGCUGCACAUGCCGGCGUUCGUGGUGGACGAGGCCGCCAAGGUGCUGCUGGCCAACCUGGUGGCGUUCGAGCAGGGCGGCGGCCGCGCCGCCAGGCAGCUGGACGGGGGCAACCUGGUGACGGGGUUCGUGGCGCUGGUGGGGUCCCUGGUGAACACGACGAGGGACGUGGAGGUGCUCCGGCGGUGUGGCGUCAUGCACUGCAUGCUCACCCACGACGAGGCCGUCAGGUACUUCAGCCACGUGGUGCAAUACACGACCAUGGACUACGACCGCCACCUGCUCGCCUGCUUGUUCCGAGACAUCCGAGAGCACUGCCAGUGGAGCCGAUGA
rnacentral:rRNA from 1 species